rnacentral:lncRNA from 1 species
GGGAAAAGGAACAAAUAUUAAAUAUCUACUAUAUAUCAAGCACUGUGCUUAGCACUUUACAAAUAUCUCAUUAAAUCCUCAUAACAACCUUGGGAGGUAGGUAUUAUUAUUAAAACCCGGUUCAGAGUUAAGGAAACUGAGGUAGACAGAAGUUAUUAUAUUAUAUUAUUAUAUAACAGAAGUUAUAUAGUUUCCUCAGAGUCAGUGUCUGAGGUCAGAUUAGAAGCCAGGUUUUCCUUAUUCUAGGCUGAUGGCUACUCCCAUUGUGCUAUGUAGCUACCUCUAAUUUGGCGAGAGUGAUCCCUAAAGUUUGCAUUAAAAACAGAAUGAAGAAGGCCAGGUUGUUAACUGAACCACCAACAGAAAUCACGUGCACCGGUGUGGCAGAUUCAGAUGAAAUUUAAGAGAAACAGCUCGUGUUCCCCGCCUUUCUGCUUAGGAUUCAUCUCUCUCCUCUGCCACAGCACGAUGCAGCUCUCAUUCCAAGAAUUGGAAGCCAUAAAUAAUGACUUAGAACUUUGGGAGUCUCCAUUCCUUCUGCCUGAUGAUGAUGAGAGGAGUGCAUGAUGUAUAUCCAAAAAACAGAUACCCAUGCACACAGACAGACAGAGAGAUAAGUGUUUCCAAGUUGAAUCCCACAGAUCUGAGCUGAGGUUUUCAAAAUUUUGGAUUCCACACAGAUCAGCUAAUACUCCAGAUAAGUUAAUGUUGAUGUCUUCUAUGAUGAUACAUUCUAAUAGCGACAAACAAAAGUUGAAAAUAUUGUCUCUGUGGCUUACUACCUUAGUUAUGACUAUUCUUGUAUAAAUCCAGUAGCAUUUUCUAAGGAUAUUACGAACUUUCAUUCAAGAUCACUUUUAGGGUAAUAUCACCAUAAUUAUUUAAACAAUAAAACAUUUCUGUGCUGUGGCUUGAUUGUAUUG